CCUACGGGAGGCAGCAGUGGGGAAUAUUGGACAAUGGGGGCAACCCUGAUCCAGCCAUGCCGCGUGUGUGAAGAAGGCCCUCGGGUUGUAAAGCACUUUCAGUGAGGAAGAACGCCUGGUGGUUAAUACCCAUCAGGAAAGACAUCACUCACAGAAGAAGCACCGGCUAACUCCGUGCCAGCAGCCGCGGUAAUACGGAGGGUGCGAGCGUUAAUCGGAAUUACUGGGCGUAAAGCGCGCGUAGGUGGCGUGAUAAGCCGGUUGUGAAAGCCCCGGGCUCAACCUGGGAACGGCAUCCGGAACUGUCAAGCUAGAGUGCAGGAGAGGAAGGUAGAAUUCCCGGUGUAGCGGUGAAAUGCGUAGAGAUCGGGAGGAAUACCAGUGGCGAAGGCGGCCUUCUGGACUGACACUGACACUGAGGUGCGAAAGCGUGGGUAGCAAACAGGAUUAGAUACCCUGGUAGUC
rnacentral:rRNA from 1 species